UCUCUAUUUCAGGAAGUGCAGGCCUUUCAGAAGCGCUAGGGCUUCGGCAUGCAAAGGAGAUGCAACGUGGAUCUCAUCUGCAAAUUCGUCGAUCACCAACCCUCGCAAGUCACGCAAAAUCCUAGCCAUCGAGCUUGUCUUCUCUCCUUUCGCCCAAGAGCAGUCAACGUUGAGCUUGAGCUCGUUGCUGUCCGAUGCUAUCCGGCAAUCAGAGAAUUAGAAAAAAAUAAUGUUCAUCUGGAAGAACGUGCCUCCACACGAUGUAAAUCUAAGUGCGGAUGCGUGGUGGCCUGCGCUGUACUUAUGCGGCUUGUAUUCAAUGGCUGACGGGUCAAAGAUCGAUUCCAAAUAUAAAAAGCCAAAGCAAGUGGAACGAUGUAACUUGUCCAAAAAAAAAAAAGGUGGAACGAUGUAAAGUGACGAGACAAAAGAAAUGGGGAUGAAAUUCUUGCUGUAUACUUUGAUUCGGCGCCUAAGGGAUUGGCGGACCAGUCAAGCAUUUGGUUCGGAUGCAACAGAUUUGUCGCUCUACGUGGGGCCUCGUGAUAACGAUCGUGGACAGAACAAUUCAUAUGCAAAUGUAGGAAUUAAUCGAGUUAUAAGUUCAGAUACUCGUGUUGAGAGAACAAAAAUUAAGUUUUAAUCUUUUUUCACUUGCGUUGAAUCUCGAUGCUUGCCUUUUCUAUAUUGAGUAAGUUUGUGACAUUUUAAUAGUAA